UGCGGGAUGGGAUAAUGGCAGUCCACGGGGCUCAUAUCCCCGAGAUCCAGGUUCGACUCCUGGUCCCGCAA
rnacentral:tRNA from 1 species